UUCUGUUUUUUUUUUUUUUUUUUUUCCCCGCUGCAAGAACAAACUCAGCGAACGUUGUGAAUCAAAAACAGAGUGUCCUUGAUGCUACUGCUACUGUUAUUUACAGCGAAGAUUGUGGAGAAAAAACAGAGUAACCCAGCACAGGUUGUGGAGAAAAAACAGAGUAACCCACAAAAUCACUACGAAGGAACCCAGCAAAGGUUGUGGAGAAAAAAAACAGAGUAGCCCAGCAAAAUCAUUACGGUAACUGAUUUAUUCUUUUCUAAUAUUAUUACUUUUUCAAACAACAACUUUAGAUAACCUUACAAUGCAACAGUAAAACGAAUAUAGUAAAUAGAAUAUGUUUGU